AACGAACGCUGGCGGCAUGCCUAACACAUGCAAGUCGAACGAAGCCUUCGGGCUUAGUGGCGCACGGGUGCGUAACGCGUGGGAAUCUGCCCUUGGGUUCGGAAUAACAGUUAGAAAUGACUGCCAAUACCGGAUGAUGUCUUCUGACCAUAGAUUUAUCGCCCAAGGAUGAGCCCGCGUAGGAUUAGGUAGUUGGUGGGGUAAUGGCCCACCAAGCCGACGAUCCUUAGCUGGUCCGAGAGGAUGAUCAGCCACACUGGGACUGAGACACGGCCCAGACUCCUACGGGAGGCAGCAGUGGGGAAUAUUGGACAAUGGGCGAAAGCCUGAUCCAGCAAUGCCGCGUGAGUGAUGAAGGCCUUAGGGUUGUAAAGCUCUUUUACCAGGGAUGAUAAUGACAGUACCUGGAGAAUAAGCUCCGGCUAACUCCGUGCCAGCCGCCGCCGUAAGAC
rnacentral:rRNA from 1 species